UGGGAUUGCAUUUGCUGUCAAUUGCAGAAAUAAAAGGCUUCAUGGAGACAUCAAACUAACAGACAUAUCUAGUAGUAUAAUUUUAACAUUCACAGAACAGGAAACUAGUGACGUUUAAAAUACAGAUACAUUAUAACAUCAGUACAAUAUUUCCUACACUAUUUCAUCUUCCACCUGCUCUUGAGACUGUAUUUACACCUAUUCGAGCUGCUUCGUCCAGUCGAAGGGCUCCCAAUCCUUCAUGAAGCUGGUGACAACUUGCUUCUGGUUAUCCGUGGAUUCGUGCCUUUGACGGUGGUGCAUGUCCUCCCCUGGCAAGCGCAGCACCCCUCUCAUGACAUUCAGUCCAAAACCAGCACUGAAGCUUCUUCAUCUCGUUCUGGGACCAUUCCUCUUCAGCUUCGUCAAUUGCCUGGACUAAAUAGAACACAUUUUAUUAGAACUUCAAGCACAGGAGAACAAAAAAAUCAGUUAUGCAAAUGGCAGUACUGCAGUAGAUAUCUGACUUUCUUGAAUUACAUGGGCGCUUUGUUUGAAA